rnacentral:rRNA from 1 species
UACGAAGGGGGCUAGCGUUGCUCGGAAUCACUGGGCGUAAAGCGCACGUAGGCGGACUCUUAAGUCGGUGGUGAAAUCCUGGAGCUCAACUCCAGAACUGCCUUCGAUACUGGAGAGCUUGAGUCCGGGAGAGGUGAGUGGAACUGCGAGUGUAGAGGUGAAAUUCGUAGAUAUUCGCAAGAACACCAGUGGCGAAGGCGGCUCACUGGCCCGGUACUGACGCUGAGGUGCGAAAGCGUGGGGAGCGAACAGG